CUUCUCCUGUUAAGCGGGCUACCCAUCAACAAAGGGAUUCCUUGCUCCCUUUGUUGCUUUUAUAAGAACAUGUCUCCAAUCUCAACCCCGCAAGAACUCACCACCAUGGCUACUCCUCUUAAGUUCGUUACUACUGGCUCUCUCUUCCAGUUCUAGGGAAGGAAUAGCUGUGAGCUCAUCUGCCUCUCCUCACCAUUGUUCCUCACGAAGUGCACUUGUUGGCUGUGACUGCAAUUUCUCACUUAUACACGCACAUCUGAAGGUUUUUUGCUAGCUAUUAGUAAAGGCUCAUCAUCUGGCUGGAAUGCAAGUUCCAAGUUCUAUGCAAACAAGAAUCAAAAGGACUGACUAGGGGCUUUGCUGAUCACUAACCAUUGGCUGCUUAGUUGAGACAUAUUUCUUAUUCCUUCAGCAAAAGCUUUACUAGCUCAAACUGAAAGUGGUGUCCUCAAUUCCUUCAAACACCACAGACCCUCAAAUGGCCCAAUAGAUUCAUAAUCCCUAAAAAUCAGUUUUGAGCCUUGCAGAUAUUUCCAAAUAAUCACAUACCUCAAUUUCUUCAGAUUUUUAGCACCUUGUGUAAACCAGACAAUCUGUGUCUUCAAGAAUCUAUGUUUUUAGCUUUAGAAAAUGCCAAAUAGAUUUGUGUAGCCCUGCAUGGCGGUCAAAGUUCAAAACUUGAUGUUGAAUAACUCCCCAAGCGAAUGUGGAAUAACCUUAUUAGCAAGGUUUGAUAAAUCCAAGCUGAAGAUGAUACCUUGCAUUCUUCUAGGACAGAAAACCAAACGGUUGGCAUACUUGAGUCAAAACACAGAAUGUGAUUCUAGCCGUAGAUGUAUCUAUGCUUAAUGUAAGGUCGUCAUGGCAUUUGUGCACCCCAAUUCGCAGAGAACCUGAUCCCGUCGGUACCACUCCAUGAGUACAAUCAUAAACUAUGAUGAAAUUUGUCUUUCUAGAUCAGAAAAAUGCUAGCUCAAGCACAAGUUCAUGCAUUCCAAAAUAUUCAAUCUUAUUGAAGACUUUUCUCAAUCUAACACUGACCACGUUUCAUCUAGCGAGCUAUAUAACAUAACUUUUAGCAACAUUUUCUAAGCUGCACAUUCCUCUUUGUUCGACGAACCCUAUAUAGAUCCAUAAUUUGAUCAAAUAAUCUACUUCGAUAACUAAAAUUUUCUGCAAAUAUAGGAUAAAACAGGAAAAUAACUUUCAAAUAGUUUUGCAUUUACAUUAUCUUAAAUUCAGAAUCUUCUCCACAUGAUUAAAGUUAUCGUGAUUGUGCAGCUCCUCGAUAAGCAAAUUCUCAAAUAGCUUCCACUCUGCGACACUAUUUGUUUUAAGGGACAAUAUGCUCGCUAUUGCCACAAGAUCAAGCGUUAAACCAUCACAUUUUUCCACUAUGUCUUCAACAUACCAAAAUGUAACUCUGGAGGUCAGAUGUGAUUUUCAGUUUUCGGAAAUGUCUUCCUACAAGUUAGUUACAUUGCAUCGUGGUGAUGUAAUGGUUGUACCCUUAAAACACAACAAUCACCUGGUAUUGAUGCAACUUUCUCAGUUUCGUUGUGGUUAUUACUUUGCUUCCCAUGACAUUAUCAAUAAGAACCCUUUCAUUUUCGAUAGAUCUAGACAUCAUCC